rnacentral:rRNA from 1 species
UACGUAGGAUGCUAGCGUUGUCCGGAUUUACUGGGCGUAAGGCGCGCGCAGGCGGCACUGUAAGUAAGGUGUGAAAUAUCCCUGCUCAACGGGGAGGGUGCACUUUAGACUGCAGAGCUAGAGGACGGUAGAGGGGGGUGGAAUUGCUGGUGUAGCGGUGAAAUGCGUAGAGAUCAGCAGGAACACCCGUGGCGAAGGCGGCCCCCUGGGCCGAACCUGACGCUGAGGCGCGAAGGCUAGGGGAGCGAACGGG